rnacentral:lncRNA from 1 species
CAGGCAGAGGUCAGUAAUCCAGGGCAGUGUUAGAAAGGUAUAAAACGGCAGGCACGCUCAGGGUAAGGGCAGGCAGAGGUCAGUAAUCCAGGGCAGUGUUAGAAAGGUAUAAAACGGCAGGCACGCUCAGGGUCAGAGCAGGCAGAGGUCAGUAAUCCAGGGCAGUGUUAGAAAGGUACAGAACGGCAGGCAGGCGCAGGGUCAGGGCAGGCAGAGGUCAGUAAUCCAGGGCAGUGUUAGAAAGGUACAGAACGGCAGGCACGCUCAGGGUCAGAGCAGGCAGAGGUCAGUAAUCCAGGGCAGUGUUAGAAAGGUACAGAACGGCAGGCAGGCGCAGGGUCAGAGCAGGCAGAGGUCAGUAAUCCAGGGCAGUGUUAGAAAGGUACAGAACGGCAGGCAGGCGCAGGGUCAGAGCAGGCAGAGGUCAGUAAUCCAGGGCAGUGUUAGAAAGGUACAGAACGGCAGGCAGGCGCAGGGUCAGGGCAGGCAGAGGUCAGUAAUCCAGGGCAGUGUUAGAAAGGUACAGAACGGCAGGCACGCUCAGGGUCAGGGAAGGCAGAAUGGUCAAAACUGGAAGAACUAGAUAACAGGGACCAGAAAGAACAGGAUUACGGGAAAAACACGCUGGUUGGCUUGUCGAGACAAGAUGAAUUAGCAACAGAUUAACAGAGAACACAGGUAUAAAUGCACAGGGGAUAAUGGGGAAAAUGGGCGACACUUGGAGGGGUAUUUCCCCAUUUACCAUAAUGAGAUACAACUUUAGAUUCUAUUUAUCAUAAUAUAUGUUUGUAAACUUACCAUUAAAAAAUACCAUAAUGAUUGAGUGACCAUAGAGCUGUACUAUGACAUUUGCAUUGCUAUCCAAUUAUUCUCUACUAUUCGACCCGCUAAAACGUCCCUCCAUCCCAAUUUGGGUUGUCGUUCCGGUGACUAUACUGCUUUCACACACAAGUUACAGUGCAUUCGGAAGGUAUUCAGACCCCUUGACUUUUUCCACAUUUUGUUACGUUACAGCAUUAUUCCCCCCAAAAACCCUCAACACACAAUACUCCAUAAUGACAAACCAAAAACAAGUUUUUAGACAUUAUUAACAUAAGUAUUCAGACCCUUUGCUAUGAGACUCGAAAUUGAGCUCAUGUGCAUAAUGUUUCCAAUGAUCAUCCUUGCAAUGUUUCUAUAAAUUGAUUGGAAUCCACAUGUGGUCAAUUCAAUUGACUGGACAUGAUUUGGAAGGGCACACACCUGUCUAUGUAAGGUCCUACAGUUGACAGUGCAUUUCAGAGCAAAAACCAAGCCAUGAUGUUGAA